UUGCAGCUUCUUCAGUCGAGUUCUCUGUACUGAACGUGCUGGAGAGGGGAUGGAGAAAAGGGAGCCCUCCUCCACCGACGCUGACGAUGGAACCGGAGCCGCCACCGUGGAGGGCAGCGUGCUGGUUCCUGAAACAGUGAAGAGGAGAAUGAAAUCAGGACACUCCCGAACAACUCGACUGGAACAAACUGGAUUAUAUUGCAUGUAUUUAUCACAAUUGGUGGUCCUUAUGAAUAUAUAUGACAGGAUUGGGAUGAGCAGAAAUCAAUUUUCUGACAGGUAAUAAAGAUCGGAUAAGCAGUGGCA